CAACUUUUUGUGCAGGAAAACUAGGCAUCCUACUAAGGAAAGGGCCAACUUUCCCAAAUAAAUACGUACAGCUCUUUGGAAAGUGCCUCUCUGGGGCCUGCCUUCGAUCUGUGUCCGGUGUGACGUCAGACCAAGGGGAGAAAUUCCUAGAAUGCUAGGAAUUUGGCUAGCAAAUUGGUGCCUCCGCUGACCCAAUGUGAAGUCAAGCCUGACUUGACUUUCUCUUGCCCACUUUGCAGAACAGGCGGAAGUGAAGUCAGCUAAUGUUUUCAUUCUGCCAUCACCUUCCCACUUCAGUGUAGGUCAGGGCGGGGGGAGGAGGGGGAGCUGUGGCUGCCACUGGGAUGCCGAGAAAGGGGACCAAAUCGCAAAAUUAUUCAGUUUAUUAUUAGAUAUUUACCAGUAACUCAGAGGCACCAUUUGGAUGUUCUGCCUAGAAGUCUAGGGCUGCGUACAUAGUGGCACAUUGAAAGCACAUGGCUCCCCCCCCCAAAAAAUAAUAAUAAUGAGAAGUGCAGUUUACACUUAAGGGUGCUGGGAUUUGUAGCACUCUUUAACAAACUACACUUCCCAGGAUUCUUGGGGUCAAGGGAACCAUGUGCUUUAGAGGUACAGUGAAACACUUGGGCUGUCUCUAAAUAGAUGCUACAAAAGCAGAAUCAGAUAAAUCCUUCGCUGGAGGCUAAAAAUUGAGGCAGCUUCCCUGACUGGGGAAUUUUGAGCACCAGGGAUGAUGGGCAGGAUCUGUUGAGGCAGCUCUCCUCAUGGAACAAAAUGGGGGGUUUCAGCAAGGCUGGAACAGGAUAAAUUUCCAAAGGAUCCUGCCGCAUGUUAAAGGUUAAUUAGGAGGAAGGAUGCUAAUUAGGAGGAGGAAAUAUUCUGCCUGGAACACCCUGACUUUGGAACUGGAUGCCCUCCUCAAGAGGUGGGGCG